ACAGCAGUAGCCGCGGUAAUACGGAGGAUCUGAGCGUUAUCCGGAAUUAUUGGGUUUAAAGGGUGCGUAGGCGGAUAGAUAAGUCAGUGGUGAAAGACGGUGGCUCAACCAUCGCAGUGCCGUUGAUACUGUUUAUCUUGAAUAUGGAUGAGGUAGGCGGAAUGUGGCAAGUAGCGGUGAAAUGCAUAGAUAUGCCACAGAACACCGAUUGCGAAGGCAGCUUACCAAGGCAAAAUUGACGCUGAGGCACGAAAGCGUGGGGAUCGAACAGGAUUAGAUACCCGCGUAGUCCCUGUCUCUUAUAC
rnacentral:rRNA from 1 species